rnacentral:tRNA from 1 species
CGGGGCGUAGCGCAGCCUGGUNNACUUGCAUGGGGUGCAAGUGGUCGGAGGUUCAAAUCCUCUCGCCCCGACCA